rnacentral:rRNA from 1 species
GGACGCAGAAGGAGAGCACUACCUGGAAUGGAAUCCAGGGGCAAGCACAGGAGGGGUACGGCUGGAAAAACCGCCGUGCAACCCAAAGGUGUGACGCAUACCGAACUAAAGUAGGGAAAUGUGUGAGCCGGCUGCCGAGAAAAGCCGCUAUUGUUUGUACUGUACCCGUACCGUAAACCGACACAGGUGGAUGAGGAGAGAAUCCUAAGGCCGACGGAAGAAGCAUUGCUAAGGAACUCGGCAAAAUGACCCUGUAACUUCGGGAGAAAGGGUGCCUCGAAAGAGGCCGCAGAGAAUAGGCCCAAGCAACUGUUUAGCAAAAACACAGGUCUAUGCAAAACCGCAAGGUGAAGUAUAUGGGCUGACGCCUGCCCGGUGCUGGAAGGUUAAGGGGAGAUGUCAGGAGACGAAGCAUCGAACUUAAGCCCCAGUAAACGGCGGCCGUAACUAUAACGGUCCUAAGGUAGCGAAAUUCCUUGUCGGGUAAGUUCCGACCCGCACGAAAGGCGUAAUGAUUUGGGCGCUGUCUCGGCAAUGCAUCCGGUGAAAUUGAAGUGCCAGUGAAGAUGCUGGCUACCCGCGCCAGGACGGAAAGACCCCAUGGAGCUUUACUCCAGCUUGAUACUGGGAUUCGGUAUUGUAUGUACAGGAUAGGUGGGAGGCUGAGAAAUGGUGACGCCAGUCGCCAUGGAGCCGCUGUUGGGAUACCACCCUUGCAGUACUGGAUUUCUAACCAGCAGCCGUGAUCCGGCUGGGGGACAAUGUCAGGUGGGGAGUUUGACUGGGGCGGUCGCCUCCGAAAGGGUAUCGGAGGCGCUCAAAGGUUCCCUCAGAAUGGUCGGAAACCAUUCGAAGAGUGCAAAGGCAGAAGGGAGCUUGACUGCGACACCGACGGGUGGGGCAGGUACGAAAGUAGGACUUAGUGAUCCGGUGGUAUUAAGUGGGAAUGCCAUCGCUCAACGGAUAAAAGCUACCCUGGGGAUAACAGGCUUAUCACUCCCAAGAGUUCACAUCGACGGAGUGGUUUGGCACCUCGAUGUCGGCUCAUCGCAUCCUGGGGCUGUAGUAGGUCCCAAGGGUUGGGCUGUUCGCCCAUUAAAGCGGUACGCGAGCUGGGUUCAGAACGUCGUGAGACAGUUCGGUCCCUAUCCGGCGUGGGCGUAGGAUAUUUGAGAGGAGCUGACCUUAGUACGAGAGGACCGGGUUGGACUGACCUCUGGUGCACCGGUUGUCAUGCCAAUGGCACAGCCGGGUAGCCAAGUCGGGAAGGGAUAAACGCUGAAGGCAUCUAAGCGUGAAGCCCCCCUCAAGAUGAGAUAUCCCCCGCAUAAGCGGUAAGACCCCUUGAAGACGACGAGGUAGAUAGGGCAGAGGUGGAAGUGCAGUAAUGUAUGGAGCUGACUGCUACUAAUAGGUCGAAGGCUUAACU